rnacentral:lncRNA from 1 species
CCGCCUUUGGCUCAGGGUUCCGGGCAACCCGGAGGAAGUGGGGGCUGCGGGGCUGGCUCCGAGUGGCAGACUGGGGACGAGACGGUCGCUGCUGCCAGGCGUCCCAAGUCUGGACAGUUGCGUGGCUGGCACGGCCACACUUUGCGCAGAGUGGGGCGCGGGGCAGCGGCAGAGAGCGCCUGAGCAGGCCCGGGCAGCGGGCCGUCUGCGGACGGGACCUUCACCUGCCCCGGGCCGGGAGGGAGCGAUUCGCCCUGCGCGUAAAGGCGCCACGAGAACGUCUUUGGGCGCUGAAGCCAGUUGCACCUGUCUCCCCCUUGGAACAUUCUCGCUGGAACUUGUGGGUGCAGCUGUCAUUCAUCAUUCCCUUCCCUAAUUUGUCUCAAGGCUACCAGAUGCAUUCCAGUCAUUUGCCUGAAGUUGAAGUAGAUUACAUGCAAAUUGCAGGGGUUGACUUUCAAUGUAGUCUUUAGGCAAGACAGUACUCAGUGGAAUUGUGGUGGAUUUUGAGGGGGCGAUUUACACAUCCACAGUGAUGC